rnacentral:rRNA from 1 species
UACAGAGGCCCCAAGCGUUACUGCGAAUCACUGGGUUUAAAGGGUGCGUAGGUGGCGCGUUAAGUCCGUUGUGAAAGCCCUGGGCUCAACCCAGGAACUGCUUCGGAUACUGGCGCGCUUGAGGCUAGUAGGGGUCACUGGAACUGACGGUGGAGCGGUGAAAUGCGUAGAUAUCGUCAGGAACGCCAAUGGUGAAGACAGGUGACUGGGCUAGUUCUGACACUGAGGCACGAAAGCGUGGGGAGCGAACGGG